CAGACAUGACCAUGUUUGGGAGAAGAUUAUGGCAACAUUUGGAAUUUGGUCUGGUAAAGGUCUUCAAGGUCCAGCUCUCAGUGGGAUGUCCUAUAGGAUGCUGGGAAAAUAAGAAUGUUGAGAGAAAUGGAGACAAUGGAAUCAUGGAUUAUGAAGUCUCAGAAGGAAACAAAGCUUUAUCAAGGGGAAAAGGAACUAAGGCCGAGGGGAGGAUCUACCAACCUUCAGCUUGGUGAGAGUCACAUGCAGGGCAUCAUCGGUGAGGCAUUGCGAACAGAGCAGCAACACCAACAGCCCACUGCAGUGUGAAUGAUAACUAACGCCCAAACCUGGAAGCCCAGAGCUCAUACAGUUCAACAGGUUCGAAGGCUUGAUAGGGUGCUUUCUCUACAGGAGGAUUCGAUGGUCGGAGGCUGGG
ensembl:lncRNA AABR07068554.1